rnacentral:lncRNA from 1 species
UUGCGUCUGCCCCCCCGCAACCAAAACGCCACCGUUUCCUUUUUCUUUUUUCUUUUUUUUUUUUGUUUUUAAUUUUUAUUCUGCUGAACAACAAUUGACGGGAGGCAGCUCUGUACACGUAAAGAGGGGAGGCAACGUACGUAGAGGCUAGCGUGACGGUGGCUGGUGAGAACCAGAUCCGUAAGUGGAGCAGAGGAGACCAAGAGCAGGGAGAAACAGAGCUUGCGGUGAAAGAGAACAAUCGAGGACGAUGCUUGACUGGUAUGUGGCAGAAGCUCUUGGGCGACAUAGAAACAAGGGAGAGAUGGAACACAUAUAUAUUGGGCUCUAAAAUAUAUUGUAGGUAAGAAUUUGAACUCGGCUUAGAGUUAAUUGAAUAUUUAGAAUGGAUAAAGUUUAUGUAUUUGAUUCAUGUGAUUGAUGGUUGAAGUAUGAUGAGUUCGCAAAUUUGUCAUGAGAAUGAAUGAAUGACGAACGGAACCACAGUGUGUGUCAUGCUUCUGUUACAUGUGGAUUGUAGGAUAAUAAAUUGUCCAAUUGAGUAUUAAGUAGAAGAUAUACUUCGUUAAAUUUUAAAUGAGUUAGAUCUUUUAUACUAUCUUUUGUCAUUUUUUUAAUGUUUAUUCUACUUUGGUAUGGGAUAAAAAUCAAUGUUCGGGUUGAGUACGUAUACAAUUUGUUUGUUGAAUUAUCGGAGUUUGGUUCCCUUGGGUUAUUUUGGGUUCUUUGCAGGUUAUCUCUUUUCAUUUAGUUUUCUUUUUGUAUGUUGUUUAUCACCUACCAUUUCCUUUCCUUUUAUGGCAUUUUGGCACUUCGUGGAACUACUUGGCUGUUCUGGUUUAACUGUCUGAAAUUAAUUUAGAUGCUUGCAUUAAAGCUUUAGCCUCACUUUUAUCUUCCCUGCAUUGCCUUAAGACUGUACUAUAUUUGAAAUUGCUGGGAGGUACAAAUGGGUUAAACGUGUAUUAUCUACUGAUGUUUGUGCUUCAUUUUCCCUACGAAGAGUAUACUUACUUUGGAUGCCUAUUUUGAUGAUUCAUGAGAUAAAAAACAGCAUGUGUCUCAAUUAGAGGGUUAAUUGUGGUGUGUGCAUGUACCAAGUCUUCUGAUCAUUAAUGAUAUUUUAAAGGUUAUUGUCUCUUUGACCAUCUUUUCAGUUCACUAAAAUUAAAAUAGAAUUUUUUUAACCAAAACUAAUAAGUUUUUGCCGCCGGGUGGUGCCUCACACCUUUCGAUCAUUUUUGAACCCAUUUUCUUCGGACUUGGCCAGUGUGUAUUAUGGUGUCUAAUUCCACCUUAAAUGGAUUAAUGGUGAAUUCUUUGGAACUUAUUGAUUAUAUAUUUGUGGAGUCUUUUGGAUCUAAUGUCACCCGGGUUGUAACAUUGAGAAUUCUCAUUUUCCUGCAGAGUAUUGUCCCGUAUCACAGUUGUGACAAGUUCAUAACUUUAAUUUGCGACAUCUGCUGCGGGUUUAUAUUCCAAUAGGCUUUUGGAAAUUUUGCUUUUAGUUGUUUGCUCAGAAACCGCCUGAGGAGAAAUUUCUCUAAACCAAAUUAUUUAUGGUAUUAACCAUUUGGUGGUUGAGCUUCCAUUUAUUUUUCAUGCACACCUUUUUUUUUCUUCUUUCUGUUUUUUAAUCCCAUGAGGCUUUUUGCUUUUAGUUGUUUGCUCAGAAACUGCCUGAGGAGAAAUUUCUCUAAACCAAAUUAUUUAUGGUAUUAACCAUUUGGUGAUUGUGCUUCCAUUUAUUUUCCGUGCACACCUUCUUUUUUUAUUCUUUCUGUUUUUAAUCCAUGAGGUUUUUUGCUUUUAGUUGUUUGCUCAGAAACCACCUGAGGAGAAAUUUCUCUAAACCAAAUUAUUUAUGGUAUUAACCAUUUGGUGGUUGAGCUUCCAUUUAUUUUCCGUGCACACCUUCUUUUUUUUAUUCUUUCUGUUUUUAAUCCAUAAGGUUUUUUGCUUUUAGUUGUUUGCUCAGAAACCACCUGAGGAGAAAUUUCUCUAAACCAAAUUAUUUAUGGUAUUAACCAUAUGGUGGUUGAGCUUCCAUUCAUUUUCCAUGCACACCUUUUUUUUCUUCUUUCUGUUUUUUAAUCCAUGAGGUUUCUUAUUUUGUAUAAAGUCGGCUCUUAUUAUUAUUAUUUUUCUAAUAACGGUUUAGUUUCAUGUCAAGAAAUUUGUUGAAAAAUGUUUUGAACUUGUGUUAAUUUAUUUCAGAACCAUAACAAAAUGUUCAAUUUCAAGUUUAUUUCCACGUAAUUUCCAUUUGAACUUUGAAAAGAAACUGAAAGUAGGAAUUGAAGUCCAUUGUUGCUUCUUGUUGUGAUUGCAGAAUCCCGGAAGGAAAAUCUUAUGGAAGAAGCAGGGUGGUGGUAAGUGGAAGUUGAUAAAUCUGAUAUAGCGGGGUCACAUAGAUGAAGGUUCUCAAAAAACCUUCUAUCUCUCUUUGCCCCUCUGGAAAAUCUCUGCCUCUCCAUAUACUCUUCUCAUUGUUCUCCUCAAAACCAAACCCUGAACAACAAUCGCACAACUUGAUCGCUAAAAUCAAUGAUUUGUUGUCUACUUCUCAAUGGCAGAAGGACCCAUCACUCCUUUGGUUGGCCCCCAAGCUCCAGCCGCACCAUGUCUCUCAGAUUAUCAAUACCCAUAAGAACACUGANNNNNNN